ACGCAUUUGAAAUGUGGUGCUGGAGA
rnacentral:sRNA from 1 species